GCUUCUCUCAACAGGAUAACUAUUGCAAAACGCCCAGAUCUCCACUUUGGCCAGUCUGUAGACUCCCCAGGGAUUGGGCGCAUCUAGGCAGAUUUUUGGAGGUUAAGAUGUCCCCUGCUUUUUCUUCACUUUCCAGAGGUGCUCAGUGAUCCUGAUGGGAACCCCAUGGAUUUCAACUGAGCCCAGAUUCUUUUGUGAAUUCUUUUUAUUUUCCUCAAAUACAAUGUGUUCCCAGUAAUUGCCCACAAGUGACUGUGGAAAAACACCAGCAUCAAUGGAUCGUCAGACACUGGUUUCAUCCAGAUAGUGAAGGAGCAACAGGGCAACCAGCCGGGUCCGGAUCCAACAAAAUGGUGAACUGGGACUAGGCUUGUCCCCCUUCUACAGCUGUGACUGUCACUGUGGAAGUCAGGCAGGUUUGGCUGCCCUCGAAGUCUAGAAAACACAAGCAGCUCCUUCCCUUCCAGGACAAGUCCAAGGAGAAGGGCUGGUAACCAGCUAACCUUCAGCUGUCAUCAGCACAGAAAGCAGCGCCAGAUUCUGAAAAGAUGUCAGGAGGAGACCUGACGAAGGACGAUGAUUCAUGAAACAAAGCCACGCGCUCCACCUGCACGUACCUGGGAGCAAACACCUCCACAUCGCCUGAGAUACUGCUGAGUAAAAAAAAAUGCCCUGGCCAGGACUUGGAGGCAACACGGUGGACACACCAGGCUACAUAUUAACAGAUGAAGGUUCUCCUACUGUAUGACCUUUGUUUGGGCAAAAUAUGUACCCUAUGGUUUUCCCAUCUGUAAGAUGGAGAUUGAUAACGCUUCUUACCUUACUCGCUUUACCAGCCUUUUAUGAGAAUCAGCUAAGAGCUGAUUAGAGGUCAUGGGGUCCAACUGCCUCAUUUUAUGGCUAGGGAAACUGAGGCAGAGAGAUGUUCUGACUUGCCUAAGGUUGCAGAGGUGGCGAGUGGCGCAGUUAGAAUUCAAACCAAGGUCCCCUGGCUCCAAGGAGAGAGCUCCCAUUGCAUCAGGAAAGCUUCAUACAAAUGCAAGGUGUUUUUAGAAAUGUUUGUUGUUGGACUGCUAAAUAGAGUGCACCAAGACCAUGACGGAACCAGGCUCGUUACUGUGAAAAGGGUUACACGAGGAAGCUGGACACCCAGACUCCUGACUCCUGUAAUGGAAUCU